GCAAAGUAUGCCGGGAUGGGUGUGGAGGCCGCGGAACUUCUGGCGGGCGCAAGCUAUAUGCCUUGUUGAUCUUGCCGCAUCUUUUUUACUAGAUGUCGGCUGAGUGAGUAGCUACAGUUUUUAACAUGUUUAACUUACGGCCUUCAAAAAUUGUUAGCGGACUUUCUCUGUUGCCUCCUCAGUGAGCUCUGCCCUUUCUCGCAACUCCUUGUCGUCCCACCGCGCCUCUGCACCUCAGAGGAAGGAGAAGAGUAGCGAGGCCGAGCGGGUUUUUAGAUUUCUCUGUGAUUACCCCCAGCCUUGUCUUUUCUGACUUUACCGUCCCCGCUUGGGGUACUGCUUUUUGAGGCUCCCUCGGCCACAUUUUUGUGGUUCGUGAGAGGUUUCAGUUGAGGUGAACUUUUUGCCCCUGUGAUCUUGGACAGUUUAUGAUUCUUCAUAUCUCAGUAUCAUCUUCUCUAAAGCAGGGUUGAUAAUAUUUUUUAUAUUAGUAAUAUAUAAUAUAUUCUAAUAUAUAUAAUAUAUUCUAAUAUAUAAUAUAUUCUAAUAUAUAUAAUAUAUUAAUAUUAUCAAAGCAAUGUUGAUAAUAUUUUUCACAUUUGCUAUGUGCUUAUAAGGCGCCCAUUGUAUGUAGAGUGCGUUGCAUAUGGAAAGCAGAGUGAACAUAAUGGAUGUUUGUAAUGAUAGCUAUGGCUUUGGCAUCAUUUUUGUGUCUCCCCAUUUUUUUCUAAAAUCCCUGGAAUGGUUCGGGCCUUGAAUUCCGACAGAAGAGAUUUAGGUGGUAGCAAAGCACGUCCAACAUGGAGUUUGCUGGGCCUGCACAACUUGGAGCUUCUCUGUACCCUUUUCUUCAGAGAACUUUUAGAACACAACCCUCAACUUCCCGUCUUCUGGAUUCUCUUCCUAGCACUAAGCAAUGAUCUUUGUAAAAAUAGCCCCACUGACUUAUACGUCUUUACUAUCUGAAUUUUAUCAAGAGAAUCGAGGGGGGAAAAAAGAAUUUUGAAUAACUAGUUCUAGAAGGACAAGAACUGUUCUUUUAAAAGGACCCUGAAAAGCUGACAGUCCUCUUGUAGUUUCUUCACCAUCGUUUUUUCUGUUCUUUUCGAUUAGUAUAAUUCAACUAAAUCAAUGGUACCCCCCUCCUUUAAUUAGGCUCAUCACUAGAUUAACAUAAUUUUGUGUAUAUCCAUCUUGUUUAUUGUUAGCUGAAAACAAUUUUAAUUUAAAAACUAACGUUAAGAACUUUCCGUCAUAGUCUUUUAUUAUUUAAGACACCCAAAAUAAUGUUUCUUAAACUUGGUGAAAAAUUCUUUUUCCCUUACGAUAAAUGCGGAAGAAUAUAGCCUCCAAAAUAAAUUAUUGAAUGAGUGAAUGUCAUAAACAAAAAGCAACAGGAGUUAAAGUGUAAGUAUUUAGUAUACGAUAAAAGAUUUCAUAUCAGUGGAAAAUGAUUACAUGGUACAGGGAUAAUUGUAAGCUAUAUAUAUAAUAUACUAUAGCUAUAUAGCUAUAGUAUAUUUUAUAUAUAUAUAUAUUUUUUUUUUUUUGAGGCGGAGUCUCGCUCUGUCAUUCUGGCUGGAGUGCAGUGGUGCGAUCUGGGCUCACUGCAAGCUCCGCCUCCCGGGUUCACGCCAUUCUCCUGCCUCAGCUCCCGAGUAGCUGGGACUACAUGUGCCCGCCACCACGCCCGGCUAAUUUUUUUGUAUUUUUAGUAGAGAUGGGGUUUCACCGUGUUAGCCAGGAUGGUCUCGAUCUCCUGACCUCGUGAUCCGUCCACCUCGGCCUCCCGAAGUGCUGGGAUUACAGGCAUGAGCCACGGUGCCUGGCCCAUUGUAAGCUAUAUUUUUAAAGAAUUUGUAUCUUAUAUCAUACAUUGAAAAUAAUUCAGAUGAGACCAAAAAGAAAAAUAAUUGGAAGAACCUAUAUGUAAAUAUAAAUAUUCUGGGGGAUGGGAAGGCUGGCCUUAAUCAUAAUUUCAUGUGCAGCAACCAUGAAGGAAAAGUUUGAAAAAUUGGACUAUACUAAAAAAAAUCAGUUAUAUAAAGCAAAAUAAAAACAAAGGUGGGGGGGCAAAUAAAUGGGGAAAAAUGUUUGUUAAUGUUUAUUAUGUAUAAAGGGCUAAGAGUCUUAAUGCUUAGAGAACUGUUGCUAGAAGAAACAAACGUGUCAAAAGAAAAAUAAUGAACACUGAGGCAAACUGUAUUAGAUUGCUAUUGCCAUAACAAAAGUCUUUCGGCUUCAAAGACUUUGGAGCUUAAACAGCACAAAUUUAUUUUCUCACAGUUCUGGGGCCUAGAAGUCCAAGAUUAAGGUGUCAGCAGUUUUGGUUUCCCCCAAGGCCUUUCUGGUUGGCUUGCAGACGGCUACUUUCUUGCAGCAUCCUCACAUAGCCUUGCCUCUGUGCACAUUACCCCGAUGUCUCUUCAUAGAGCCUCACCUUUGUGACUUCCAUUUAACCUUAAUUACCUUCUUAAAAGCCCUGUUCCAAACACAGUCACAUUGAAGAGCACUCCAACAUACGAAUUUUGGGGAACACAAGUCCACAAUACAGACCAAGAAAGCAGAAAUGUUAGUAGUCUAUAGGAUGAAAAAAAAAAUAGUUUAUCCUCACCAGUAGUUUAAGAAAUGCAAAUUUAACUACAGUGUAAUGUCUGUUUUUGAACUAUCAUUUUGGCAAAUAACAAAGCCCGUGAGAAUGGAGAAGGAAUAGAUAAUACUGGAUUUUGAAAGAAGAAUGAAUUAAUUCUUUGUGACAGAACUAUAAAUUAAUAGUAUAUGAAAGAGAAGGAUAAGCCUAAACUGACUUAUGAAGUUUUCAGCUGGAAUGAUUGGGAGAAUGAAUGAAGAGCAUAGAGCUAUUUGUUCAGCUCAUAGUAGCCCAGUUCUCUCUCAGAGUCAAGGCUGAGCCCCUAGCAACUGUUUUGAAUAAGGUGACUCUACCAAGUUGAUUGUACUAAGAAUAGGUACCUAAUUCCAGUUGAACCCGUUGGAAUUUUUCACAUGAGAAUCUAUAUUUACACCAAAUUUUAAAAAUUUAGUCUCUUAGGUGACAGGGCUGUGACAUACACUCAUAUAUAUAUUUAUGUAAAACCUUGGGAGAUAUAGAUUGGCCAUUUUUCUAUUAGAGAAAUAGAAAAAGUGUAGAGAUGGGGUGGGGAGAAAGAGAGAGAAAGAGAAAAUGAUACUUUCCAAGAGGAUCAGAGGUGAGAUGGAAAAAUAGUCCAGAUGCAAUUCCAGUCUCUUUUUUAAGAAUUUUUUCUUAGGCCUGGUUUCAUUCCUGCCCUGGAGUUCUCUAAAAUAUUCCUGUAUCCUUAUAAAAAUUCCCCUCCCCCUUUUUUUUGCAUAAGUAGCUUGACCAAGUUUUAUGUUAUCUUAAAACCAAGACUGAUAAGAAUAAAUGAGAAGGAGAAUUUAAAGCUGACUUUUAUACCUGUCAGCCUGAAGGAAUUUAUAGAACUUCACACAAAGUGGAUCUGUAGGUGCACUGCUCAAAGCUUCACCUUUUGGGGAAAUUUUCCUUCUCCACUGUUAUUCAGAGAUUUUACAAGUGACGUUGUUCCACAGCUGCUUCUCAUUUUUUACUGGCACCUGCAUACCAAGCCAGCCUAUCCAUAAUCUUGCCAUAAAAGCUCAGGUUUUUUUCCUCCUCCUUCAGUUGGCCAUAGAGUAAUCCCUACAUAGCCAUUGGUGUGAGGUGAGGGAGGUGUUUUGGUGCAACCUUGGUGGGUGGCAUGGGCGUCUGAGCUGCUUGCUCAUGCAGCUUGCUUAUACCCUCUGGUGCUUGUGUCUCAGAUGUGCCAUUAUCUUUUUAUCUGUUUCUGGUGGGGUAUCUGACUUUGAGUUGAAGUCUCUGACAGUACCCAGCUUAUGAUGGGCAAUUCCAAACAUCUCAAAAAUUAAAAUCCCAAGUGUCAGAAGAGAAUGGAAUAAUACAUUCUAAAUCCUGAGGGGGAAAAAAACCUAACCUAGAAGUGUGUAUUAAGGUCCUUGCCUUGUUCAAAAAGAUGUCAGAUGUACUAAAAUCACUUUAGACUUUGUUACACUUUAUAAUUAAAUACUUAUGGAAAAUAUAUUGGUAAAUGAAGAAGCCAAAAGGAACAGAAAAAAGGCUCAAAGGGGUAAGGGAAAGAUUAAGAUAGUACAAUGUUGUGGAACCAAAGUUUGUAUAAUUGUCAAAAAGAGGUGAUCCAUAAUGUCAUGGUACAGGUCAAAAACUUGAAGAUGAAGACAUGCCUAUUGCAUGUAAUAUUUAGCAGAUUUUUAGUGACCAUUCAAAGAAAUGUUUUACUGUUAACCAGAUAGCAAAGGGUUAAGGAAAAGUGAUUGGGAAAAGUAGAAAGAGAUAAAUAUUUGUUAAUGUUCUCUAUAGUGAGUUUUUUUUUUUAAGUAAUUGGAUUUAGACUUUCCAGAAAUGAAGUGAGGUAUUAUCCUAUUUUAUCUCACAAAUAACCCAGACACUGGGUAUAGCUUUCCGUCUAGGCUUUUAUUUUAUUUCCAGGUUUGUUUCUUGCUUUCUUAAUAGGUUGCGGUUGUUUAUCUUCUGGCACCUUAAAUGAUACAGGUAGAAUAGGAUGCUGUGUGGACCAUGGGGAUUUUUGCCAGUCAGCUUUGUUUACUUGUCUCUGCUGCCCCCUUACACAGGGUUCUAGUCUCAUGAUUACAUCUUCACCUUGAAAGUUACAAUUUAGUCCAGGAAAAGUGCUCUCAAGUGUAUCUUGAUAUCUGAGUGAAAAUAAACCUGAAUCAGCCAAUCCACUAUAUCAUUUUGUUGUUAGACUGGGCUACCCUAUAUUUUGCUGUUAGAUUUCAUACCACCUGAUUCUGUGUACAUGCUUGACUGUCCUCUUGGACACCUCAAAUUUUCAGAAAAGUUUAUGGUUUAAAUGUGUUUUCACUUUGCUCAUUUUCGCUGUAACUCAUUUCACAUCACUGUUUUUCUUUUGUAUUAUCUGGCUUAUUAUUCUUGGUUUUCACAUAUCUAGCUGCAUAAUGUAACUACUUAACAUUUUAAUUGGUUAUGGGAAGCACUGAAUGCUUCAUUUAAUUAGUGGAGAAGUAAUAUUUUAUAAAUGAAGCUAUGGUAGUAAUAGUAACAAGUAUUAGUUGUAAUUAUAUCUUAACUAAUUUACAUCGUAUCCAAGAGACUAAGAAAUGUUUGACAGUUCUUUUCAGAUUUAAGCUGUGAAACUCUCACUUUGAUAAAGACUGCUUCUUCUUGAUGUCUCUCCUUGAAAGCAGUGGAUUAGAGGUAGCUUUGCCCACAGAUAUUUUAACCUCCCAAAAGUAUUUAAUUCCAAAUUUUAAUAGUGUCAAAGCUAACAGGAUAUUGCAGAUACAUAAGUUACUUAGGGAGGAAAUCUUAAUUUCUUGAUAUUUUAUGUAGAAUAAAUAGUCAAGUUUAUACUAUAACAUCCUGGCAAAAUUGUAACAAGUAAGAGAAGACUGCUUACAUAAAUUCUGUGUCCAUGAAUACUAUAUUAGAUGUUUGUAAAGAGUUAUUGUAACUGUAAUUCUCUAAGCAUGCAGAAGGAAAUGAAAUCUUGAUUAGAUGGUCAGUUAUUAAAGAUCUAACAGGGCACAGAGAUAUAGAUGAUAAUAAAUUAGCAAAAUUAUCCAAGAAAAAAGAUGGUGUCCAAAAAAUUGACAAAGGGAAGAUCCUGUAGUAAGAAAACAUUGAAUUUAGAAACUAGAGAAGCAUAGUCUCAUUUUACAGAUGAACACACUAGAACCCAGAAAAGUUUUUCAAGUCAUGUCCCCCAGGUUACCGGCAGAGGCAGUCUAAUACUCUUUUCCACUCUGUCCUGCUGCCUCCCAGUAAUCACUGAUUAUUUGCACUACUUACAGAGCCUAUUGCUGCUGGCAAAGCUCUUUCUCAAAACAAAUAAAAAAAUCUACUUCACCUCUAGCCUUUUUUGAUUCUUACAACACUGCUCUUCUUGUUCUACUUCCUUCUCUCUUGUCACGUCUUUCCUGUAAGUUUCACUGGCAUUUCAGCUUGCUUCUUCUCCCUCUAAUUUUUUCUUUUUUUGAGAUGGAGUCUUGCUCUGUUGCCCAGGCUGGAGUGCAGUGGCAUGAUCUUGGCUCACUGCAACCCCUGCCUCAUGGGUUCAAGUGAUUCUCUUGCUUCAGCCCCCCAAGUAGCUGGGACUACAGGCAUGCACCACCACACCUGGCUGAUUUUUGUAUUUUUAGUAGAGACAGGGUUUCACUAUGUUGGCCAGGCUGGUUUCGAACUCCUGACCUCAUAAUCUGCCUGUCUCCCCCUCCCAAAGUGCUGGGAUUACAGGUGUGAGCUACCGUGCCCGGCCUCUCCCUCUAAAUUUAUAGCUACUUUCAUGGAUUCAGUUUUCACCUCUAUUGGCUCAAUUUUUUUUUUUUUUUUUUUUUGAGACGGAGUCUCGCUCUGUC
rnacentral:lncRNA from 1 species